GUUUUCUUAUUCAUGGUUUUUCACUCUCUCUGUCCCUCUGUCUCUCAGGUUGUUACUCUGUCAUUUCCGGCCAUGCAAUGGGCAUGGAAUAUUGGAAUGGAAGGGAAGGGAUAUCUUCCCAACCAAUGGGUCGAACCCUCCGCCGCACAAUCAAUGCUCAUCUUCUCUUCCUUGCAAAUCUGCCUUAACCUCUUCUGCAUCUCCCGUAACAAAAGGAAGGUGAAGGAUGUAAUAUUCAUGGAUCAAUUGAAGUAAAUAAAGUUGCUGGAAUGUUAGAUUUUGCACUUGCGAAAAGCUUUCAGCAGCCAAAUGUAAAAGAUUUAGGAGAAGCUCUGUUUUGGUUGCUUGCCAAUAACAGAGUGGGUGUAAUGGGUACAUGAAACACCAAAUGGUAUGCACCAAUAUUUCAUCAAGGUUG